GUAUUUUCGAAUUAGGUAAUUCAAUGAUACAUUGCUUCAGACAAAACUGUUUUAAAUAGAUUAAUGAUUAAAGAUAUCUGACUCCCCGCGGCCCACUCGAAAGAGGGGGACGCACGAAGCAGAUUCAAACGUUGCACACAAGGUGGGUAUGGAAUUGUUAAAAGUGCCAUAAACACUUAUUGUGAAUGAUCCUUCCGCAGGUUCACCUACGGAAA
rnacentral:misc_RNA from 1 species